rnacentral:rRNA from 1 species
UACGUAGGGGGCUAGCGUUGUCCGGAAUCAUUGGGCGUAAAGAGCGCGUAGGCGGCCAGAUAAGUCCGGUGUGAAAGUCAAAGGCUCAACCUUUGAAUGCCGCUGGAAACUGUCUGGCUAGAGUCCGGGAGGGGCGAGUGGAAUUCCUGGUGUAGCGGUGAAAUGCGCAGAUAUACAGGAGGAACACCAAUGGCGAAGGCAGCUCGCUGGAACGGUACUGACGCUGGAGGUGACGAAAGCGUGGGGAGCAAACAGG